UUAGAAAAUCCUCUUCCCUCCGUAAGGGGUACCUGCGGAGGGAUCAUUACAGAGUUUCUACAACUCCCUAAACCGUUUUCAAUUUGGGGCCCCCGCCAUUCGAGAUACACCCUUGCCUUUUUGAGUACCUUUUCGUUUCCUCGGCAGGCUCGCCUGCCAACGGGGACCAAAACGCUUUGUAGUACCUUAACUGUCUGAUACAACAAGCAAAAAUCAAAACUUUCAACAACGGAUCUCUUGGUUCUGGCAUCGAUGAAGAACGCAGCGAAAUGCGAUAAGUAGUGUGAAUUGCAGAAUUCAGUGAAUCAUCGAAUCUUUGAACGCACAUUGCGCCCUUUGGUAUUCCUUAGGGCAUGCCUGUUCGAGCGUCAUUUAAACCUUCAAGCUCAGCUUGGUGAUGGGUGACUGUCCCCCCCGCGGCGCCUCAAAAACAUUGGCGGCCGUACAUUGGCUUCGAGCGCAGCAGAAACGCGGUCUCGAGUCCUGUGGAUCGGCUCCCAUAAGCCUCUUCUUUUAUUUUGACCUCGGAUCAGGUAGGGAUACCCGCUGAACUUAAGCAUAUCAAUAAGCGGAGGAAGAUCAUUAUCGUUCGGCUUCGGCCAUUUCAUAUAAAUCCUUGCCUUUUUGAGUACCUUUUCGUUUCCUCGGCGGCUCCCUGCCAACGGGGACCUUCAAACGCUUUGUACUACUGUAACUGUCUGAUACAACAAGCAAAAAUCAAGACUUUCAACAACGGAUCUCUUGGUUCUGGCAUCGAUGAAAACGCAGCGAAAUGCGAUAAGCUAGUGUGAAUUUGCAGAAUUCGCUGAAAUCAUCAAUCUUUGAAAGCACAUUGCUCAUUUGGUAUUCUUAGGGCAUGCUGUUUCAGCGUAUUUAACUUCAGCUCGCUGGAGAUGGUGACUGUCCCCCUCGGGGGGGGACUCCUCAAAAUUGGGCGCGUACAUUGUCUCAAGCACAAAAACCGCUCAGACCGUGAUGGUUCAUAGCCUCUUUUUAUUUGACUCGGAACAGUAGGAUAUCCGCUGACUAGCAAUCAUAAGCGAGAAA
rnacentral:rRNA from 1 species